GCGGGCCCACCGCAGCACUGUGGGUAAUGUAGUCCUGGCGCCAUUAGCUGAGCGGGCUGUCGAGGGUGGGAAUAAACCUGGAAGGGCAGGCCCGCGAGAUGCAUUGUGGGCAACGUAGUCCUCGAACCCCUGGCCGACUACCUGUAAGCGCGUGGGAAAGAGACCGCGUGGGCGGGACCACAGGAAGCAUUAUGGGUAUCGUAGUCCUUACACCUUCAGUGAGUAGGCGAGCGUUUCGAGGUCCCGUAGCUUCUGGGCCAUGCUACCCGUGUCGCCUCCAUACGCCCUUCCCUAGCCUGAGGAAGGUCCACGGUGGGAGGGGAUUUUGUAAAUUUACGUUUCUACUUACAUAGUACUUUGUAUGUACCAGGCUCUGUUUUAAAUACUUUGCAAUUUAUUAACAGUUCAUCUUUGAAACAAAGACGGGAGGCAGGCACCAUGAACAGGAAGUGAACUAGACAAAUGGUCCCUGGUGUUGCUGUCCAGACUGGAGAAGACUAAGCCCCUGGCCCUUUAAGCAGUGUUUAUGGAGUCUACAAGACCGUUUGAGUUAAAAUGGCAGCCUCCUACUCACAGAAGUUUGCAAGCAACUGAGCGACCCACACAUAUGCUUCUCGGAAGACAGAGGGGAAGUUCCCUUCAGACUGAUGCCAUGGUUCCAUCGUCACAGACAAGGCAUCGAUUCAGCUCACAUUUGCUCUUGGUGUUUAACUGUGGCAGGGAAAAGAGGGUUUACAAUCAAGCUCUCCAAAAGUUGUCAUCUUUGGUAGCAAUUUCUCAGUAUCCAAAUGAGUAAGAAACAAAAAUUCAAUAUACAAGUCAAAUAGUUUAGCUAAUUUGACUAAAUUAUCUAAGAGAGUCGUCAUGGAGCUACCAUGCCCCAAAACUGAUAUAUAAUGGGUGUUUUGUUACACUUUUUAUAAGGCCUCUAUGAGCUAAUAAUAAAACCUAAUGUUUUUAAAGCA